GAAGAAUUUCAUCAAUAUAGCUAAUUCACUAGAAGGUUGUAUCAGUGAAUAUCUGAACUGUGUCGAAUAUAAGAGGAUCCCUUCAAAAAUUCUUACCUACCAAGUGGCUGAUGAUCCAGUUUACAAUGGCUACAGAUCAGCAGUAGAAUCUAUAAGCCAAGAGGAAGCUCUGGAAGCAUUUGCAGUCUGGGAGCCACCCCAUGGUCCAUACAAGAUGAUUAAAUAUCCUUGGAAAAACUAUGUCAAAGUUAGUGGUGCAUUAAGGUAUUGCGCUUUCAUGGUUAUGGCACUGCAUGGAUGUAUACUGUCUGAAAUACAGGCACCUGCCGAAAGAAGACAGGUUUUUCGUAAUGAGCUUCAGAGAGUAGGUACAGCAAGUGCCAAAGUGUUGAGAGAACUGGGGG
rnacentral:misc_RNA from 1 species